UACGUAGGGUGCAAGCGUUAAUCGCAAUUACUGGGCGUAAAGCGUGCGCAGGCGGUUAUGCAAGACAGAUGUGAAAUCCCCGGGCUCAACCUGGGAACUGCAUUUGUGACUGCAUAGCUGGAGUGCGGCAGAGGGGGAUGGAAUUCCGCGUGUAGCAGUGAAAUGCGUAGAUAUGCGGAGGAACACCGAUGGCGAAGGCAAUCCCCUGGGCCUGCACUGACGCUCAUGCACGAAAGCGUGGGGAGCAAACAGG
rnacentral:rRNA from 1 species